UACGGAGGGUGCAAGCGUUAUCCGGAUUCACUGGGUUUAAAGGGAGCGUAGGUGGGUUGGUAAGUCAGUGGUGAAAUCCCCGAGCCUAACCCGGAAACUGCCAUUGAUACUAUCUGUCUUGAAUACCGUGGAGGUGAGCGGAAUAUGUCAUGUAGCGGUGAAAUGCUUAGAUAUGACAUAGAACACCAAUUGCGAAGGCAGCUCACUACGCGAAUAUUGACACUGAGGCACGAAAGCGUGGGGAUCAAACAGG
rnacentral:rRNA from 1 species